AUUGAACGCUGGCGGCAGGCUUAACACAUGCAAGUCGAGCGGAGUGAUGGUGCUUGCACUAUCACUUAGCGGCGGACGGGUGAGUAAUGCUUAGGAAUCUGCCAUUUAGUGGGGGACAACAUUCCGAAAGGAAUGCUAAUACCGCAUACGUCCUACGGGAGAAAGCAGGGGAUCUUCGGACCUUGCGCUAAAUGAUGAGCCUAAGUCGGAGUAGCUAGUUGGUGGGGUAAAGGCCUACCAAGGCGACGAUCUGUAGCGGGUAUGAGAGGAUGAUCCGCCACACUGGGACUGAGACACGGCUCAGACUCCUACGGAAGGCAGCAGUGGGGAAUAUUGGACAAUGGGCGGAAGCCUGAUCCAGCCAUGCCGCGUGUGUGAAGAAGGCCUUUUGGUUGUAAAGCACUUUAAGCGAGGAGGAGGCUACUAGUACUAAUACUACUGGAUAGUGGACGUUACUCGCAGAAUAAGCACCGGCUAACUCUGUGCCAGCAGCCGCGGUAACAC
rnacentral:rRNA from 1 species